rnacentral:lncRNA from 7 species
AAAAUGUUCUUCCAUACCAGCACAGCUGAAGACUCAGAGUGAAGGAAGAGUGGAGGAAGGUGAGGUCAGAGGAAAAGGUAGGUCUCACCUAAGCUUGGGACAGACUUCAGGAAAACUGCAUGCCAGUUCUUAAUGCAGUCUUCAAGAGUAAACUCCUGGUAAACCUCCUCUACGUUCAGAUGGAGCCAGUUCAAUCCAGGUGGGCUUUUGGAUUGACACCUUCUCCCUCCCAGUGAGAUAUAGCUCUCUGUGCUGCCCAGCAGCAUUUGGUACAUUUAUAAGGCUAUUUGUGAUAGUACUGUUAUUUUGAGAAUGUUAUGGAGUGGCUGUGUGCUGGGUGGCUGCUGCAGCCAGAUACAGCACCAGGAAAGAGAAGGAACAGACUGCAGCAUGGCCAUGCUUGGGAGCAGAAGCAAGGCUUGGCAAGAUCUGCACUGAUAGGCCAUGCUGAGGAUGUGGUUGCUCCAGUGUCCUAAAGCAGGGAUUCCAAGCUCCUGCUUCCCAGGGGGAGGAUAGUGAAGCCUUCUACAUGUAGCAAAUAACCACAGCAGCAGACUGCUGGAGUGCCAGAAGCAGCAACAAAGCGCAUCUGACUGCUCCUGCUGAUUUGUCAACGGUAACUAACCCGAGGUGUGUUCUGGGGGUCAAUACAUCUCUGACAGAGCUGCUCUGCCACCAGUACCUGUGCUGGUGGAUGUUCAACAUGGGGCUGAACGCAACUGUUGUCACAGACCAUGUGGAUGGUGACCAAUGUCCUAUGUGUGCUACUAAAACAGUAACAAGGAGGGAGCUUACUGUAGAUACAAGAGGUUCACAGCUCUUAAUUCUCUUCCACUUAGCAAUAUUACAGUGCAUUCCCCAUAUUAGUGGUCCUAGGCGGCCCAGAGUACAUACAAAUAUGGGAGAGGUCAUCUUGCUUCUGAAGUAAAGCAUAUAGCUUUCCAUAUAAAGGAAAUGUGUGGUUAAAACAGCAACAACAAAAAAUCUUACUUCUGUGCUUGUUAAUGUUUUCACAGCAGUUGAGCAUAUCUGAUUACUCUUACCAGUUUUAGUUUAUCUAGUUUGGUGGUCAAAAUGAGCCUGAUGGAAAGGGAUGUACUAUUCCCUAUCACGUUCUAAACUAUAUCAACCCAGUGAGUUUAAGUGUCUCUGUAAAAUCUGAAGCUGGAAACAUAAAUGCUUGCUUUAUCUAAAAUACAAAGAAUGCAGCUCAGCCUGUUAGUGGACUAGACUCAGAAUAACCUCCCAGACAACAUGGCAGAGUUUUGGAAAGUUUGUGUACAUGCUAUGUUGUAGAUUUCUUUAAAGAUUAAGAACACAUUAAAGAUAAAGAACACAUUUCUAUAGGUUUUUGCAGAAAGAUAAGGUGCCUUUGUUUAAAAAAAAUUAUAAUAAUAAAAAAAAUGUAUAAGAUGUU